CAUCACCUAUCAGCCAUUUUUUCCUCUUACCAUGAUUAAAGAAUGGGCUUUAAUUAAUAAAAGAACUCCAGCACUUGGACAGCUGUCAAUUAAUUAAUUGCGAUGUCAGAAAACUCCUAGACUUGACCCACAUCUAGGAGUUUUGCUCAAAUGUAGGAGUAUGGAAAACAUGCUUUGAUCACAGGUGUGAUGUCCAGAAGAUGUCGAUUUAGAGAAAGUUUCGUAAUCCAGAACAUUACGCCGCAGUGAUUCUAACUAACUUUUCGAAUAGUACACCUAUAUCUAAAGAACAAUAAACCUUAAUGAAAGCAAGUACUUCAAAGGACAUAUUAUAUUCAUUCUGAGCAAGUUUUUGUGGUUGACCAUAUUGGCCGCAUGGAUACAGCAGAGCUCAUCACCUUCACAAUUUUCAACGAUUCCGGCAUGAGCACGAACACACACAAGUCUUAUCACUCAUUGCAAUUAAUAAGAAGACCAAGGCUGGAGAGUCAGUCUCAUUCUUUGAUCUAAGUGUUAGGGUAUUUUUAAAUAAAUAAAAUAUCACUUAA